rnacentral:rRNA from 1 species
UACGUAGGGAGCAAGCGUUGUCCGGAAUCAUUGGGCGUAAAGCGCGCGUAGGUGGCUUCGUAAGUCCGUUGUGAAAGUCAAAGGCUCAACCUUUGAAAGCCGAUGGAUACUGCGGAGCUAGAGUACGGAAGAGGCGAGUGGAAUUCCUGGUGUAGCGGUGGAAUGCGUAGAUAUCUGAAGGAACAUCAGUGGCGAAAGCGACUUCCUGGACCAAUACUGACGCUCAUGUGCGAAAGCGUGGGGGAGCAAACAGG